rnacentral:lncRNA from 1 species
AGACUCAGCACAACUGAGAUGAGUGCCCUACUAUUUGGCUUGGCUGUCUAUUAACUGCAAUGGGGCAAUACCCCCAGAAAAGCUAUCAGAUGAAAGCAGGAAAACACAGGGUCUUAAAGGGCCCAGGCACAAAUUCAGCCAUAUCAGAGAGAAACCUAAAAUCACCAAAAAGAAAGCUGCACAGUCCUUUGGUGAAAAGAGACUCACCUGGUAGGCUCUGGGUGUGUCUCUGUGAGAGGAGCCUGAACCCCUGGACCCACCUCCAGGCUCACUCACCACCACAUAAUCCUCCAUCGUAGUGUCCAGCAGCUCAAGGGAACUGAAGAAUGUCACCAGGGAGGGGACAACACCCUGUGCCGCCAUCGGGAUGGGCAUGGUGAUGAGCUCCCAAUCUCAGGAAAGAGUGAGGAGAACUCCACCUGCCUCCAGCGCUCUCCUAGGACUUCCUGUCAUCUGACUGUCAUCACUGCUCUCCCCUCAGCUCUCGAGGAGGAGCCAGCACAAAUCUCCUCCCAUUCCUGUCAUCCCUUGGACGGUAUCACCCCACCGUGAGGCCUGCACCACGUCAUCUCCCUCCAUUUCCCAGAGGAGGAGACCGAGGCCCACAGAGGGGCAGAGACUUGCUCAAGGACCCACUGAGGAGAGGCCACUCUCCGUCCCAGCCAGAGUCCCUGUCCCCACUGCCUUCACCCCUCGCCCUGCCCCACCACUGACCACGGUCCUGACCUCUGCACUCCCAGAGUGUGUCCCAACAAUAGCCAAACUGAGAUGUGGAGGGAGAGGGCAGAGGGUGUUGGUGGUGGCCGUGUGGCAUCUCCUUCCUGCCCCAUCCACAGGGGUCUCUGAACCCCAGGAUGGCCUUACCAUAGCCUCAGUUCCUAGGAUGCCCUCAGGAUGUUCCCGGCUCCCUCACACACCCCUCCUCCCAGAUCUCCAGCCCCAGGUUACCUUCAGGAGCAGUCUCAUGCUCACGUGCUGCUCUCCCCUGCACCACUUCUUAAAGGUGUAGGAUCUCUCCCUGGGGGAGUGGGGAAAGAAAGAAAGAAAGACUAUGGGAUGGUUGAAGGGCAAAUCCCAUUUGUUUUAGAUCCCAAAAGAUCCAAACAGCCUGGGGCCUGGAUGAGGGAUUUCACUGGGUUGCUCUGAGCCCCGAGGUCCCCAUGGGACUGGGGAGGGGCCUCUCCUGUUGUCACCUGGGGCCUCCAUUCCCAUAUCUACCACACAGAUCUGUUUUGAACACUCUUGGUUUCAGUUGGAUGGAGAUUUCUGUUGCUGCAAAGGAAAAACACUUGAGAAUCUCCAACUGGGCUCAAGUCAGGAUCUGAUAUUGAAGGAAAUGAGUUCCUGGGCAGAACCGCUGGCCUAAGGGCCCUGAGAGGCUCAGAGACCCAGGAACUGGAUCAGUCUGUGUCCCAGGCAUUCACUGUCUCCCAGGUGGUCUCAGCUGACUGCGGGGGCCAUGGCGACCCAUUGCCGGCUGCCAGGUCCACCUCCCCCUCGUGGUGCUUGGAUAGAGAGCAGCCUACCCACCUGGAUACUUGUCCCCAGGUGUCUUUGAGACGCUUAAUGGCAGGGCUCUGCAGAGCAGAAAGGAUCAUGUGU